rnacentral:rRNA from 1 species
AGGGUCAAGUUAGAAAGGGCUUAUGGUGGAUGCCAUGGCAUCAGAGGGCGAAGAAGGACGCGGCAGGCUG